rnacentral:rRNA from 1 species
AAUAUUGGGCAAUGGGGGAAACCCUGACCCAGCGACGUCGCGUGAGGGAAGAAGGUCUUCGGAUUGUAAACCUUUGUCAACAGGGAAGAAGCAAGUGACGGUACCUGAAGAGGAAGCCACGGCUAACUACGUGCCAGCAGCCGCGGUAAUACGUAGGUGGCGAGCGUUAUCCGGAAUUACUGGGUGUAAAGGGUGUGUAGGCGGGGAUGCAAGUCAGAUGUGAAAUCCAUGGGCUCAACCUAUGGUGUGCAUUUGAAACUGUAUUUCUUGAGUGUGGGAGAGGUAAGCGGAAUUCCUAGUGUAGCGGUGAAAUGCGUAGAUAUUAGGAGGAACACCAGUGGCGAAGGCGGCUUACUGGUCCGGUUCUGACGCUGAGGCGCGAAAGCGUGGGGAGCAAACAGG